rnacentral:rRNA from 1 species
AUUGAACGCUGGCGGCAUGCCUUACACAUGCAAGUCGAACGGCAGCACGGGUGCUUGCACCUGGUGGCGAGUGGCGAACGGGUGAGUAAUAUAUCGGAACGUACCUUAUUGUGGGGGAUAACGCAGCGAAAGCUGUGCUAAUACCGCAUAAUCCCUAAGGGGGAAAGCGGGGGACCGUAAGGCCUCGCGCAAUUGGAGCGGCCGAUACCAGAUUAGCUAGUUGGUGAGGUAAAGGCUCACCAAGGCAACGAUCAGUAGCUGGUCUGAGAGGACGAUCAGGCCGACUGGGAGUGAGACACGGCCCAGACUCCUACGGGAGGCAGCAGGGGGGAAUUUUGGACAAUGGGGGCAACCCUGAUCCAGCAAUGCCGCGUGAGUGAAGAAGGCCUUCGGGUUGUAAAGCUCUUUUGUCAGGGAAGAAACAGCAGCUCUAACACAGUUUGCGAAUGACGGUACCUGAAGAAUAAGCACCGGCUAACUACGUGCCAGCCGCCGCGGUAA